ACUGAUAUGUCGAAGGGUCGUAGCCCUCGAGCCUUGAUUGAUGGCGCUCGUCCUCAGGAUAGGUCUCACCUAUAUGCAAAAUAACUGAAUAAACGUUAUUUAAAGCACAUAACCAAAACUAGGUAAUAACUUCUCAUACAAUGCUCAAAUUGGGUAUUUAAAUAUACCACCAUGAUCGAUUGGUGCUGCGGACAUCAAAAUAAUUAGAAUUUCUCAAGAUAUGCAGGACUGCAAACCUAAACCUCUGAUACCACACUGAUACACCCCGACCUAAAUCAAGGCAUGAUGGUCGUCACGUGGGAGUGACGUAACCAUGUGCACAGUGCGGAAACAUUAGAGAUAUAAGGGAAUACGAGAGAAUAAAAGCCAAAUCAACUAGAGUACUAGUUAAGAUAGAGUGCUAGUGCGAGAUUAAGUGUGAAAUACACAACCAGAGUAUAAAUAGUCUAAGCGCAGUCAAGCAGGAUAAGUACUAAGAAUACAACACCCGAGGGUGAUCCUACAUGGUGAUAUUCUGUUAGAACCCCUGUCAAAAUCCUCGUGAUCCACUAAAGCACUUUACUUAAAACAUGGAGGGGCGCAAAACAGAAAGUGUGAGUGGGCAAAAACAAAGCUUUUCAAAAUCAUUUAAUUUCUCAAAAGUUCUAACCCCUCGCUAUAAAACCUGUAUAAUUUUCCCAGAAAAAUAGAAUAUAUACAUAUCUUAAAACUAUGCUCAAAAAACGAUAUUCAUAAGUAUGCCAUGCCAAAGUAUCUUAAUGCAAUGCUAUAGGGAAACCAGGCAAAAUAUAUAAAUAUCAAAUAUCGCAUCAGCCAAAUCUCUCUAACUCAUAUUGCACUGCUGAGUAUAUAGCUCAUAACCAAUCUCAAUCAUAUCAAAUCAAAUCCAUUUACUGCACACGAGUCGGAACCACCUCAAGUGGCCUGUACGACAAAACUAGGUGUAAAGUAAAUAUGCUCUAGUGCUACGAUCAUGUGAAGGCUGUGCGAAUGAUCGCAGGUCACCUACGAGUCGAAACCACCUAAAGUGGUAUGUACGACAAGCAUGUGCACCAAACUUAGAUCCAAGGUGAGCAUAUGGUGCGGGAGGUGAACAUCACAUGAAGGAUUGUGCAUUAACUCUGGGUGGGAGCAACUAACACCGGGGUGCAAGUUGAUGAGCUCUCAAUACAUUGCAACAUAUCUCACAUAAUCGGAACAAUCUCAUACCUUUGAUUUACGAACAUACAUGGCACUUACCUUUGCGUCCGCAGCACCAAUCAUGAAUGUAUGUAACUACUAAUGCAUAAUUAAAAUAGAUAGAUACUUGCAUGGCAUUUCCAAAACAUAUAUUAAUUUAAACAUAAUUUCUAGGAAAAACUCAAGUAUAUAGGCAUAUACGGAAAACCAAAACCCCACUCACUGAUAUGUCGAAGGGUCAUAGCCACCGAGCCUCGAUUGAUGGCGCUCAUCCUCAGGAUAGUUCUCACCUAUAUGCGAAAUAACUGAAUAAACGUUAUUUAAAUCACAUAACCAAAACUAGGUAAUAAUUUCUCAUACAAUGCUCAAAUGGGGUAUUUAAAUAUACCACCAUGAUCGAUUGGUGCUGCGGACAUCAAAAUAAUUAGAAUUUCUCAAGAUAUGCAAGACUGCAAACCUAAAGCUCUGAUACCAAACUGACACACCCUGACUUAAAUCAAGGCAUGAUGGCCGUCACGUGGGAGUGACGUAACCAUGUGCACAGUGCGGAAACAUUAGAGAUAUAAGGGAAUACGAGAGAAUAAAAGCCAAAUCAACUAGAGGACUAGCUAAGAUAGAGUGCUAGUACGAGAGAUUAAGUGUGAAAUACACAACCAGAGCAUAAAUAGUCUAAGCGUAGUCAAGCAGGACAAGUACUAAGAAUACAACACCCGAGGGUGAUCCUACAUGGUGAUGUUCUGUUAGAACCCCUGUCAGAAUCCUCGUGAUCCACCAAAGCACUUCUACUUAAAACCUGGAGGGGCGCACGAAACAGAAAGUGUGAGUGGGCAAAAACAAAAGCUUUUCAAAAUCAUUUAAUUUCUCAAAAGUUCUAACCCCUCGCCAUAAAACCUGUAUAAUUUUCCCAGAAAAAUAGAAUAUAUACAUAUCUGCAAAACUAUGCUCAGAAAACGAUAUUCAUAAGUAUGACAUGCCAAAGUAUCUUAAUGCAAUGCUAUAGGAAACCAGGCAAAAUAUAUAAAUAUCAAAUAUCGCAUCAGCCAAAUCUCUCUAACUCAUAUUGCACUGCUGAGUAUAUAGCUCAUAACCAAUCUCAAUCAUAUCAAAUCAAAUCCAUUUACUGCACACGAGUCGGAACCACCUCAAGUGGCCUGUACGACAAAACUAGGUGUAAAGUAAAUAUGCUCUAGUGCUAUGAUCACGUGAAGGCUGUGUGAAUGAUCGUAGGUCACCUACGAGUCGAAACCACCUAAAGUGGUAUGUAUGACAAGCCUGGGCACCUGACUUGGAUCCAAGGUGUGCAUAUGGUGUGGGAGGUGAACAUCACGUGAAUGACUGUGCCCUAACUCUGGGCGGGAGUUCUAACACCGAGGUGUAGGUUUAUGAGCUCUUAAUACAUUGCAACAUAUCUCACAGAACCGGAACAAUCUCAUACCUUUGAUUUAUGAACUUACCUGGCACUUACCUAUGCAUUCGCAGCACCAAUCAUGAAUGUAUGCAACUACUAAUGCAUAAUUAAAAUAGAUAGAUACUUGCAUGGCAUUUCCAAAACAUAUAUUAAUUUAAACAUAAUUUCUAGGAAAAACUCAAGUAUAUAGGCAUAUACGGAAAACCAAAACCCCACUCACUGAUAUGUCGAAGGGUCAUAGCCACCGAGCCUCGAUUGAUGGCGCUCAUCCUCAGGAUAGUUCUCACCUAUAUGCGAAAUAACUGAAUAAACGUUAUUUAAAUCACAUAACCAAAACUAGGUAAUAAUUUCUCAUACAAUGCUCAAAUGGGGUAUUUAAAUAUACCACCAUGAUCGAUUGGUGCUGCGGACAUCAAAAUAAUUAGAAUUUCUCAAGAUAUGCAAGACUGCAAACCUAAAGCUCUGAUACCAAACUGACACACCCUGACUUAAAUCAAGGCAUGAUGACCGUCACGUGGGAGUGACGUAACCAUGUGCACAGUGCGGAAACAUUAGAGAUAUAAGGGAAUACGAGAGAAUAAAAGCCAAAUCAACUAGAGUACUAGCUAAGAUAGAGUGCUAGUACGAGAUUAAGUGUGAAAUACACAACCAGAGCAUAAAUAGUCUAAGCGUAGUCAAGCAGGACAAGUACUAAGAAUACAACACCCGAGGGUGAUCCUACAUGGUGAUGUUCUGUUAGAACCCCUGUCAGAAUCCUCGUGAUCCACCAAAGCACUUCUACUUAAAACCUGGAGGGGCACGAAACAGAAAGUGUGAGUGGGCAAAAACAAAGCUUUUCAAAAUCAUUUAAUUUCUCAAAAGUUCUAACCCCUCGCCAUAAAACCUGUAUAAUUUUCCCAGAAAAAUAGAAUAUAUACAUAUCUGAAAACUAUGCUCAGAAAACGAUAUUCAUAAAUAUGCCAUGCCAAAGUAUCUUAAUGCAAUGCUAUAAGGAAACCAGGCAAAAUAUAUAAAUAUCAAAUAUCGCAUCAGCCAAAUCUCUCUAACUCGUACUGCAUUGCUCAGUAUAUAGCUCAUAACCAUUCUCAAUCAUAUCAAAUCAAAUCCAUUUACUGCACACGAGUCGGAACCACCUCAAGUGGCCUGUACGACAAAACUAGGUGUAAAGUAAAUAUGCUCUAGUGCUAUGAUCACGUGAAGGCUGUGUGAAUGAUCGUAGGUCACCUACGAGUCGAAACCACCUAAAGUGGUAUGUAUGACAAGCCUGGGCACCUGACUUGGAUCCAAGGUGUGCAUAUGGUGUGGGAGGUGAACAUCACGUGAAUGACUGUGCCCUAACUCUGGGCGGGAGUUCUAACACCGAGGUGUAGGUUUAUGAGCUCUUAAUACAUUGCAACAUAUCUCACAGAACCGGAACAAUCUCAUACCUUUGAUUUAUGAACUUACCUGGCACUUACCUAUGCAUUCGCAGCACCAAUCAUGAAUGUAUGCAACUACUAAUGCAUAAUUAAAAUAGAUAAAUACUUGCAUGGCAUUUCCAAAACAUAUAUUCAUUUAAACAUAUUUUCUGGGAAAAACUCAAGUAUAUAGGUAUAUACGGAAAACCAAAAGUCCACUCACUGAUAUGUCGAAGGGUCGUAGCCCCCGAGCCUUGAUUGAUGGCGCUCGUCCUCAAGAUAGGUCUCACCUAUAUGCAAAAUAACUGAAUAAACGUUAUUUAAAGCACAUAACCAAAACUAGGUAAUAACUUCUCAUGCAAUGCUCAAAUGGGGUAUUUAAAUAUACCACCAUGAUCUACUCAUCCUCCAGAACAUCCCCAUAUUUUUAGAAAAAAUUUCCGACCACCCACGCGCCCUCACGCACAGGCCAAGGCACAGCCAGACGCACGGCUCACUCGCAAGCACGUGCCUCGCACACCAAACGGUUUCCCUAACGGCGUUAGGGAAUAUUCCGUUAAAAACUAGAAUAUGUCGUUAAAACUAACCAACGCCAUUAGGAAUAUUCCAUCAAUUUUGAUGGAAUAUUCUGUCGUCUCCUACCUUCGAACUCCGACAACCUUCACCGUCGCCAGAAACUGGAAAAACUUUAAAACCUUAUAACUUCUUCAUUUCUCAACCAAAAUCCAUGAAAUUUGUACCAAAAUGAAGCUUAGGAUGAGAGGAACAAAACCUUACCACUUUCAAGUCUUGAAAUUCAUGGGAUUUCGCCGGAGAAGCCUCGAUAAUCCGGCCAAAACUUGAAACUCGCCAAACUCGACUUUCUGACAUCCAAUUUACUUGGUUUUUCUUCUCCGAGCUUUGUAAGGAUGUUCUAAAGCUUCCUAUAAGCUUCAAGUCUCCUAAAACUUCCAUAAUUAUGACCACAUGAAUAGUACCCCGAAUCAGGGAUUCUCAGUCCUAGUGAAAUCGAAGGUUUCACAUCUUAAAAUUAGUAUGAAUGAACUCAGAAGCUUGCAAGGAGUUCAAAAAUUACCUUAUUGACGUCGAUCCGUGCAUGAAAGCUUGAGUUCGAAGUUCGUCCGUACGGUUUGUACAAAAAAUGGAAAGAAGUCCGAGAGGGAGAAGAAAGAGAGAGCACGGACGUGAUGUGUAUGUGUGUGAGUGAAUGUGUGGUCCAAGUUGGCAACAACCACCAACCACAAACCAGGAAGGUUUAGUUCUAAUUGGUCCAAAAUAAUUAGAACUUAACAUAUUGGUCCACAACCCAAGUCUAAACCACACAACGCAACUCAAAACGUCCAAGGACAUGUUCAGAAUUUCAUGCCUAAAAAUAUAAUAUUUCGGGACGGGUUGUGACAAUAAGUGAGUUGAACGAAUAGAAAACCGGUAGCAUAGACUUAUGCACUAGCUCAUGUUAGUUCGGAAUUCAUGUAAAUACAACUCAGGUCAUUAAAUAUGAAACUUUGUAGUGUAUAACAAGAGAAAUAUAGGUGUAUCAUAUUCAAAAUUGAAGUUAUUGGAGGCCAUUAGAUGAGUUGUUCAACAACUACUAGUCAUGAUACAUAAUUUACCAGAAAAUGUGUACAGUUGUGUCAAAAGUAUAGAGCCAUGAAAUUUUAUGCAAAAAGAAACAUUAGAAAGUCUACAUUAUAAGUUGAGCUUAUGAUAAAAGGUUGGAUCAAAAUAACAUUCAAACAGAUAAUACAAGAGGGUUGUUCCAAAGGGAAGAGGUAAAACUAAAUAUGUUUUAAUUAUAAAUCCAAAGCUAAUUAAAACAAAAGAAUUAGUUAUAUCUUCUCAUAAUAAAAUAGCACCUUGUACAACAAUAACAACAAUAAUAGUUGACCACGAAAAAUGCAAACCUUUUUCUGAAAUGAUGAGGGUGAGUUAGCAGGUUUAAUGCAUGGAAAAAGCACAAAUGCACUCUCUACAAAUCCAAUCUGUCUAACCAAGGAGUGAUGGAAACCUAGGAACCUUUUAACACAAAGCCUUGAUUGCUGUAGCCAAGAGUACAAAAGGACACUUAGUCAAAAUUAAAUGCAAUCUUAACAAAUCAAAGGUGAAAAGCUCACUCGGAUAAAAGGUGUUAGUUAAUUAGCCCAUGUGGGCUGUCUUAGUACUGAUUUUGUACUGAGGUACUUUUAUAAAAAAAUGGAUAUAAAAAAAAGCUAAGCUCAAAAAAGUGUUUGGUAAACACUUAAAAACAGUUUAUUUUCACAGUUUUUUGUGAAAAAAAAAACUGAAAAGCAAAAACAGUUUUUUUUUUCAAAGAACAGCAAUACCAAACCAACUCUUAAAUUGCUUA
rnacentral:lncRNA from 1 species